rnacentral:lncRNA from 1 species
UUUAGUUUUCAGCGGACACAAAAUAUUUUAUGUGGUGCUGAAGAUUGAACCUGAGCCGCAUGCAUGCCAGGCGAGAGCGCUACCGCUUGAGCCACAUCCCCAGCCCUCAAAUGUCUUUGGAGAGAAAGAGGAGGGGGAAAAAGAAAGAAAGCAUAAGCAGUAACCUGCUUCGUCCCUGGUCCAGCAGGGCUGACCUCUGCGUGGCUCUCACUGUCCAGUUGUCACCUGCCCCCAGCAUUCCUUGGUUCUCUCAUGCUUCCUGCACUAGCUCCUUUUAUUCUUUCCAUUUUGCAAGGUCUAGUCCCCUCAGCUCUGUGCUUGAGUUUGGGAACAAGAGCCUCACCCCUUCUGGGAGUUUCAUUCUGUGACUCACCCUGAUGUCCCACUGGUAGACCUCUUGAAGCUUCAUCAAGUGUAAUUCCCAUCCCUCUAGGUGUCUCUCCUUAUUCAGCCUCGAAGGUCAAACACCAGGUGACCUGGAUGAGCUAUUUCUCUCAGACAUGCUGUCCCCUGCAAUCUGUAAUCCUAGAGGACUGUGACAUCUAGGAGCAUUCCCUAUGCAGCGUUGCCCUGCCCCACUUAGCCCUAACUGUGUCCUCUGGAACCAAAGCCAGUUCAGAGCCUCAUGUUUAAGUAGAGGGUCCGGCCAGCAUCAAAGACAUGGAAUAAUGACCUAAAUCCAGUGCAUUUCUGGGGUGAGAUUUGGUUUUAGACAUUUACGUGUCUGCUGAGAUACGUGCAAUAUUAAAUAGUUUGCCUUUGAAAAAAGGAAGAUGAUGAUAAAUUUCCCAAAGGACAAUUUGGUUUAGGGGAGGGAGAAAGGCAGCAAUUUUCUGGAAAAGGAAUGCUCUCUCCUUGACUUACACCCAGCAAAAUCACACACCCUCAAGGUCUUUCUAGAAGUCAAACUUGUUCCUGUUUUAGGAACCAAAGUCUUUCUGUCCAAGAGAAAGACUUGGGGGACUUUGAUUUCCUUUAGUAUCCAUUGUGUUCUAAGCCACAAUAUUUAAUUUGCUUGUCAUCUUACAGUUUUAUCUUUGAUUACUUGAGGAUUAAAAGAAAGAAAAAAAAAGAGAUCCUUUCCUCCUCAAAAAAAGUAUCACUUGCUUUAUGAGUCAAAAACUUUCAUCUUAUAGACAUUGGUUAACUAGAUCAUUUCUCUCCCUUGUCUGCAUACCUGGAUGUAAUUUUAUUAAUAAAAAGAUUUUAUAUUUCAAAUACAUUUGUGGGUAAAUUUACUUUUUAUUCUAUAUGCACACAAGG